UGCCAGCCGCCGCGGUAAUACAGAGGGUGCGAGCGUUAAUCGGAAUCAUUGGGCAUAAAGGGUGCGUAGGUGGCAAUUUAAGUCAGAUGUGAAAUCCCAGGGCUUAACCUUGGAAUUGCAUUUGAAACUGGAUAGCUAGAGUACAGUAGAGGGAAGUGGAAUUUCCGGUGUAGCGGUGAAAUGCGUAGAUAUCGGAAGGAACACCAGUGGCGAAGGCGGCUUCCUGGACAGAUACUGACGCUGAGGCACGAAAGCGUGGGGAGCAAACAGGAUUAGAUA
rnacentral:rRNA from 1 species